GUGUUGGAGUCAUUGCUUACAGGGAUAAAGUCUAUGCAGUUGGUGGUACAUUCCAGUUCAAGUAUUUACGGAGCGUGGAGGCCUACGACCCUGUGAAUGACCGCUGGCAAGCUGUGAAGCCCAUGUACGAGACACGCAGCAACUUUGGACUCGAGGUGGUAGAUGACCUGUUGUUCGUGUUGGGUCGAUAUAGAUCACAAUUAAAGUUUGAGUCUCUUCA